rnacentral:misc_RNA from 1 species
AAGACUAUAGACCUGCGGAGUACCUGCGGAGGGAUCAUUAAAGAGUUGCAAAACUCCCAAACCAUUUGUUUAUCUACCUGUUUCGUUGCUUCGGCAGGCGGCUCUUCGGGGCCUUUGCUACCUGUAGUGCCUGCCGGAGUAUCUAAAACUCUUGUUAUUUUUGUUCUGUCUGAGUAAACUUUUAAUAGUUAAAACUUUUAACAACGGAUCUCU